AUGUAUAGACGGCAGAGACUGGCUGAGUGGAAAGCAACUAAACUGAAGAAUAAAUUUGGAGAAGUUUUAGAGAUCUCAGGGAAGGAUUAUGUUCAAGAAGUUACCAAAGCUGGCGAGGGCUUGUGGGUCGUCUUGCACCUUUACAAGCAAGGAAUUCCCCUCUGUGCCCUGAUAAAUCAGCACCUCAGUGGACUUGCCAGGAAGUUUCCUGAUGUCAAAUUUAUCAAAGCCAUUUCAACAACCUACAUCCCCAAUUAUCCUGAUAGGAACCUGCCCACGAUAUUUGUUUACCUGGAAGGAGAUAUCAAGGCUCAGUUUAUUGGUCCUCUGGUGUUUGGCGGCAUGAACCUGACAAGAGAUGAACUGGAAUGGAAAUUGUCUGAAUCUGGAGCAAUUAUGACAGACCUGGAGGAAAACCCCAAGAAGCCGAUUGAAAACGUGUUGCUGUCCUCAGUGCGGCGCUCUGUCCCCCUGAGGAGGGGCAGCAGUUCCGAGGGUGACUGAGGCUACAGCUGCUCUCACAUGCCGAACUUUCCUGUAACAAAUUGUCUGGAUUUUUUAAAAAACGAAAAAGCGAGAAUGAUGAAUCCUUCUGUUUUUUAGUUUUGUAUAAAUUAUGUUUCAAAUCUUUACAUUUUAGAAAUAAUCAUUGCUGGAAAUUCUGUUAAAUAUUUUGGAACUCUUUUUUUUUUAAAUUACAGUAUUUCCUCUAAAAAAAUUAAAACCAGCCAUUUGUAUGGCAAA